UUCUAAGAUCUUCCUUGAGAGACGACUUGGGUUAGCUUACACGUUACAAUAGAUCUCGUCCUAUUGCGAGUCGAUCUAGCGUAGUGUUUAGGUUGAGUCAAUUUUUGGCGCCGUUGCCGGGGAAGGUUUUAGGCGUUUUAGUUGUGUCGUUUUUUUUUUUUUCUUUUACUUACUUUAUUUAAAUUUCAGUUUUUUCUCAUUUUUGUUACUUUUCCUCCCACCGGUGCGUUUGAUCCGUUCGUUUAGUGUUGUGCAUGCAGGGAUGCCAUAGUCUUAAAGGCAAACUUGUGUCUCCGUUGCAC
rnacentral:lncRNA from 1 species